GACGAAGGGGGCUAGCGUUGUUCGGAAUUACUGGGCGUAAAGGGCGCGUAGGCGGUCUAGUAAGUUGGAAGUGAAAGCCCGAGGCUUAACCUCGGAAUUGCUUUCAAAACUGCUAGGCUGGAGUAUAGUAGGGGAUGAUGGAAUUCCUAGUGUAGAGGUGGAAUUCUUAGAUAUUAGGAGGAACACCGGUGGCGAAAGCGAUCAUCUGGACUAUAACUGACGCUGAGGCGCGAAAGCGUGGGGAGCAAACAGG
rnacentral:rRNA from 1 species